GACGAACGCUGGCGGCGUGCUUAACACAUGCAAGUCGAACGAAGUGGCGAACGGGUGAGUAUCGCGUAAUCAACCUGCCCUCCAGAGGGGGACAACAGUUGGAAACGACUGCUAAUACCGCAUACUGAAGGAGGGGAUUGCGGCGGCUUAGCUAGUUGGAGGGGAACCGGCCCACCAAGGCGAUGAUCAGUAGCCGGUCUGAGAGGAUGAACGGCCACAUUGAGACUGUGACACGGCCCAGACUCCUACGGGAGGAAGCAGUGGGGAAUCUUCCGCAAUGAACGAAAGGCUGACGGAGCAACGCCGAGUGAGUGAUGACGGCCUUCGGGUUGUAAAGCUCUGUUAAUCGGGACGCGGUACCGGAAUAGAAAGCCACGGCUAACUACAUGCCAGCAGCCGCGGUAAUAC
rnacentral:rRNA from 1 species